rnacentral:rRNA from 1 species
GAUGAACGCUGGCGGCGUGCCUAACACAUGCAAGUCGAACGUGAAGCCAUAGAUGAUUACUUCGGUUUGAUUUUUUGGUGGAAAGUGGCGAACGGGUGAGUAACACGUGGGUAAUCUGCCUCGAAGUGGGGGAUAACUAUUGGAAACGAUAGCUAAUACCGCAUAGUCUUUUUUACAUGGGAGUGUAGAAGAGUAAAGCUCCGGCGCUUCGAGAGGAGCCUGCGUCCAAUUAGCUAGUUGGUGGGGUAAAGGCCCACCAAGGCGACGAUUGGUAGCUGGUCUGAGAGGACGAUCAGUCACACGGGAACUGAGACACGGUCCCGACUCCUACGGGGGGCAGCAGUGAGGAAUAUUGCACAAUGGGGGCAACCCUGAUGCAGCAACGCCGCGUGGAGGAUGAAGGCUUCGGUCGUAAACUCCUUUUCUGGGGGAAGAGAACGGACGGUACCCCAGGAA